rnacentral:rRNA from 1 species
AGAGCGAACGCUGGCGGCAGGCCUAACACAUGCAAGUCGAGCGCCCGUAGCAAUACGGGAGCGGCAGACGGGAUAGUAACACGUGGGAACGCGCCCUUCGGUUCGGAAUAACUCAGGGAAACUUGAGCUAAUACCGGAUACGCCCUUACGGGGAAAGAUUUAUUGCCGAAGGAACGGCCCGCGUCCGAUUAGCUAGUUGGUGAGGUAAUGGCUCACCAAGGCGACGAUCGGUAGCUGGUCUGAGAGGAUGACCAGCAUCACUGGGACUGAGACACGGCCCAGACUCCUACGGGAGGCAGCAGUGGGGAAUAUUGGACAAUGGGCGCAAGCCUGAUCCAGCCAUGCCGCGUGGAUGAUGAAGGCCUUAGGGUUGUAAAGUCCUUUUAACGGGGAAGAUAAGUGACGGUACCCGUAGAAUAAGCCCCGGCUAACUUCGCGCCAGCAGCCGC